UUUUCCCUUCUCCCAUCUUCGCUGAUUUCCCUCUUCCUCGCGCCCUCCUCCACCCAAUCCUCCGCCUUCCUCUCUUGCACCAUCGCCCAACCAAGCCACACCACUCCACCAGUCGCCACCACCGGCUGUUGCCUCGGUACCGUGCCCUCUCCCUCGCGUUUUUGCUUCGAUGCCGUCACUUCACCCGGUUGUGCUCAAGCUUCCGAUCCACCACCGGUUGAGUUCCUGUCUUCCCGAUCACUCUCCUCUCUUCCCGAUCUCUUCAUCGCCGAUCGCCAUCGUUGACUCAGCCACGCCGCCGCUCCCUCUCCUGAUCCAGCGGUGGGAGAGUAGGCCAUCGUCCUAUCCGUGGCGACAGGCGUUAGUCGGCUCUUCUGGUGUGAGUCCAGCGCGGCGACGCCGCUGCCACCGUUGGCUGCGUUGAUCUAGCUGCCGACCGUAUGAGAGCCACCAUUGUUUUAUUUUUUUCUCUCUUGUGAUUUCAUCGCAUCCUUGGGGGUCGUCUUCGCCCAAUCUGCCAGUGUCACCAUUACCCAUCAUCGACAUCGAGCCCGCGCGACCUCCCCGCACGUUGACACCACUGACGCUGGUCACCCAUUCUACUGUGGGUUGGAUUAAUAGAGUAGCUUCGCCUAAUUCCAGCCAUCUUUGCGGGCAGUGAGUUUCUCUGAUGGUGAAUUCAUAGUUGUGCAUUUUGGUAGGUGAGUUAUGGAGUUAACAUUGUGCUUAGCCUAAUUUAACUUAUUGUGAAAUGAUUAUGUUGGAUUGAUGAAUAAGAUUUUAUGGUUAGAUUGAAUUAAUCAGUAGGAUAAAUGUGGGAAUUAUAGAUGAGUUGAUUCAUGAUAGCUAUUUGGAGGAUUAUUAAAUUUAUUGGGUUGUAAACUAGGGUUCGGGUUGGAUCUGAUUUAGUGAGCUAAUCGAGAUUAAAUGAUGAAUUAGGGUUUCUUGGUUUAAUAGGUUUGGGGAUUUUAUUUGGCUACUUGUUGUAUAUGUAAUUAGCUAAAUACAUUAUGUGAUCGCAGCACGUUGAUUCGAGACGGGCGUCUCGACGUAAACUUUCUAGAUACGAUCUUCUAUUGAGGCGGGUACUUAUGACUUAUCUCUUUGAUAUAGUCAUUUUAGAUAUGUAUAAUAGUUUGUAGCUAGUAGCAAUUAUUAUGUUUGCAUCUGUUUCGGUAUGUCACUAUUUGAUUCUUGUAGUUUGCCUGUAUUCUUGUCUGUUAUGCAUUCAUACUUAUAUUCUCUUGCUUGUUACCAUGUUCACUCUUGUUCAUAGAGAUAGUGACAUACAUUACCCUACUGUGUAGUAGACUAAUUAUUUGACAUAUCUGGUUUGUGUACCUAGUUUAUUGUUACCUAGAUCUUUGUAUGAAUUUAUUUCCUUUUUGGUACAUUUUAUAUGGAGGUGUAUACUGUUAGGAUUUACAUGCUUAAUGUCAUGCACCAUCUUGUAUGAUUGCAUGUUGUGCGAUUGUCGGCUCAAUUGUUGUUGAGCACAUUGCCAGUUACAUGAUCUGCACACACAACCACUCAUGAGUUAGUGGUAAUCAGGCAGGGUGUGUGGCAGUUGCUCUGCCAAUGCUCCGCUGGUCCACUCAUAGGUAGCAUGACGCAACGUAGUAGCAUGACAGGGAUCCCUCUUCUGGACUGUCUCAGGAAGAUGAGAGCAUUGCGCUCCCUCACUCUGUUUGGGGUAGGAGGAUAGGUGUACUCCAACAGCAUCCUGUCCAUUCGAUCACUCAAGAGCAGUGAUGAUAGAGUGCAUAGUUGUCAUAGCCCUACCCACUCGAUCUCACCAUCGUGUGUGAGAUGGCUGACUGACGUCAGAGGUGACACAUGUUAUUUUUGCAUCAUAUGCAUAGAUUUUAUUUAUUGUUUGUGCUUGAUGCAUUAUGUAUGUUACAUUUUGGUGGUUGUAUAUGUUUGACAUGCAUACAGGUGACAUUUGUAUCUACUUUGACGACCCUUAUAUUCUGGAUAGGAGGUUCUGGUGAGUACAGUUUUUUCAGCCCCUUUUUAGUCGACAUAUCCUACUUUUGUUUAGGAAACUGUACUACAUAAUUAUUACUGUUAGUUAUAACUUAUUAUGUCUGUCUAUCUGGUUUCCGCUGAGUUGUUGAACUCAUACCGUUGAUAUAUUGUUAUUUCAAGCUUCAGGUAGAUAUUUGUGGAGUCGCUUGGAGUAUCCUGUCUGCCAGUCCUACGUCACAUCCGAAGACCUAUUUUCUGGUGUCCUUAGUACUUUAUUUGGUUUAUGUAUUCGGUGUACUUAGCUUUGUAUAUUCCGAAUUUGUUUCUGGAUUGUUGUGAUA